rnacentral:rRNA from 1 species
UACAGGGGGUGCAAGCGUUGUUCGGAAUUACUGGGCGUAAAGCGCGGGCAGGUGGCCCGCUAAGUCUGCGGUGAAAUCCCGGAGCUCAACUCCGGAUAUGCCGCGGAUACUGGCGGGCUAGAGACCAGUAGAGGCGAGUGGAAUUCCAGGUGUAGCGGUGGAAUGCGUAGAUAUCUGGAAGAACACCAGUGGCGAAGGCGGUCAACUGGCUCUUAACUGACGCUCAGGCACGAAAGCGUGGGUAGCGAACAGG